UAGGUGUUGGAUGAGGAUAUGUACUAGUUUGAACUCUUCUUCCCCCGUCAACAUGAUAUUUCUUCCAUCGCAUAUCAUUCUGCUAGUAACAUUCUCAGUCCUUGUUAGAUGUGAUGGUUCACCAAGAUCGCUUGAUUCACCGGACAAGACCGAUGUUAAACUUCUCGACAAGCAUGUAGUCCAAACACAGGAUGUGCACAUCAUGUGUGGGAUGUGUAAGAAGGCUGUUAAAAAUCUGAUGAUUCUGGUGAUGAAACAGAUUGAUAAGGAGAUAAAGCUAAUAUGCGGCAAAUCGAAGCACUCCCAUAAUACCUGCAAGCAGCACUUGUACAAGUACAAGGCUUUGGUCAUUCACCGAAUUUUCAACGGGAAGAACGCAAGAGAAAGGUGCAAGCAUAUGCACUUAUGUUAAAAGCUGUAAAUUGUGAUUUUAUCACUUAAACUCGAUGGUCAAAGUUGUGUCCUGGAGAUACUUUAAUGCUUUGAUUUAUUCAUAAAUCUGCUUUUGAUCAUACAUGUUUCAUUUAUUUCUGUAAACAUCUGUUAUUAUCUGUAAAGAAAAUUACAAAAAGUAAAAAAAAAAAAAAAAAUUGUAAUCAGAAAUCACUGGGCUGAUUAUUUUUUGUAUUACCUGUACUAUAUAAGUUAACACAUAUAACUGUACUUAUAUAACAAUAAAUAUAGCAUGCAUGCCAAUGUUGUGUGACUAAAGAGAAAUAAAUAAAUGAAUGUUUGCCGGAUUUAUUGUUUCCAUCCAAAGUUUUAGACGUAGCUGAU
ensembl:lncRNA